CUGGAAUUCCCAGGGCUCCAUCCCUUGGAGCAGCCUGGGAUGGUGGGAAUGAUCCCAGCCCAUGGAAUGAGAUGAGCCUCAAGCUCCUUCCCAUCCCAAACCAUUCCCCGCUCCCGGAUCCUUUUCCAGGCGCUGCAGGAUGAGGAUCCAAGCCCAGAGCUGCCCUUUUCCAAGGAUUUGGGAUUGCCAAACUGUUCCCAUCAGCUGGAGCAGAACUCAGGACAGGAUGGACACAAAGUCUCAGCUGUGAGCAUGGAAAAAUUCCAGGAAUAUGGAUAAAACCAGCAGGAAUUGCGUUGGGAAUGGGACAGGAAAAGCUGGAUCCAACUCCAGGUGUGUCCAGAGGUGGCUCCUGGGCUGAAUCUUCAGGAACUUUUCAUGGAAUUUCUGCUCCUGGUGCUGCUGAAAGCCUCUGGAAAAGGACUUUUCUCCUGGAAAAAAAAAAAAUUGCUGGGACAAGCUGGGAUUUCAAAGGAAUUUCUGGGAAUCCAGAGCUGCUUUUUCCUUUGUUUGUUCUAAAGAAAAAUGUGGAUUUUGAUUGCUUGAAGGUGCAGGAAAUUCCUUUCUCUUUCAUUAUUGAGGGAAUUUAUUCUCAGUUCCAAGCCAAAUUUCCACGUUUUUAAAGCUGCUCCUGUCAUUGUUUGUAUUCCAAGAGUUUGGGAAUUAAAAAAAGAUUGGGAAUUGUAAUAGUGGGAAUAAACCUGAAGGGUUAUUUUUCCA
ensembl:lncRNA